rnacentral:rRNA from 1 species
AGUGAACGCUGGCGGUAGGCCUAACACAUGCAAGUCGAACGGCAGCACAGUAAGAGCUUGCUCUUACGGGUGGCGAGUGGCGGACGGGAGAGGAAUACAUCGGAAUCUACUUUUUCGUGGGGGAUAACGUAGGGAAACUUACGCUAAUACCGCAUACGACCUACGGGUGAAAGCAGGGGAUCUUCGGACCUUGCGCGAUUGAAUGAGCCGAUGUCGGAUUAGCUAGUUGGCGGGGUAAAGGCCCACCAAGGCGACGAUCCGUAGCUGGUCUGAGAGGAUGAUCAGCCACACUGGAACUGGGACACGGUCCAGACGCCUACGGGAGGCAGCAGUGGGGAAUAUUGGACAAUGGGCGCAAGCCUGAUCCAGCCAUCCCGCGUGGGUGAAGAAGGCCUUCGGGUUGUAAAGCCCUUUUGUUGGGAAAGAAAAGCAGCAGGUUAAUACCCCGCUGUUCUGACGGUACCCAAAGAAUAAGCACCGGCUAACUUCGUG